CCAACAGACCUCUGCCUA
rnacentral:tRNA from 1 species